rnacentral:rRNA from 1 species
UGGGGGAUAUUGCACAAUGGGCGAAAGCCUGAUGCAGCGACGCCGCGUGGGGGAUGAAGGCCUUCGGGUUGUAAACUUCUUUUGCUCUGAACAAGGCAUGCCUUUGGGGUGGGUUGAGUGUAGGGGUUGAUUAGCGCCGGCUAACUACGUGCCAGCAGCCGCGGUAAUACGUAGGGCGCGAGCGUUGUCCGGAAUUAUUGGGCGUAAAGGGCUUGUAGGUGGCUGGUUGCGUCUGUCGUGAAAGCUCAUGGCUUAACUGUGGGUUUGCGGUGGGUACGGGCUGGCUUGAGUGCGGUAGGGGAGGCUGGAAUUCCUGGUGUAGCGGUGGAAUGCGCAGAUAUCAGGAGGAAUACCGGUGGCGAAGGCGGGUCUCUGGGCUGUUACUGACGCUGAGUAGCGAAAGCGUGGGGAGCGAACAGG